rnacentral:rRNA from 1 species
CCUACGGGAGACAGCAGUGAGGAAUAUUGGUCAAUGGACGAGAGUCUGAACCAGCCAAGUAGCGUGAAGGAUGACUGCCCUAUGGGUUGUAAACUUCUUUUAUAUGGGAAUAAAACAGGGUACGCAUACCCUCUUGUAUGUACCAUAUGAAUAAGGAUCGGCUAACUCCGUGCCAGCAGCCGCGGUAAUACGGAGGAUCCGAGCGUUAUCCGGAUUUAUUGGGUUUAAAGGGAGCGUAGGUGGGUUGUUAAGUCAGUUGUGAAAGUUUGCGGCUCAACCGUAAAAUUGCAGUUGAAACUGGCAGUCUUGAGUACAGGAGAGGUAGGCGGAAUUCGUGGUGUAGCGGUGAAAUGCUUAGAUAUCACGAAGAACUCCGAUUGCGAAGGCAGCUUACUGGACUGCAACUGACACUGAUGCUCGAAAGUGUGGGUAUCAAACAGGAUUAGAUACCCCAGUAGUC